UAUGUUUUCCAGAUUAUCUUUCUCACCAUCUUCUUGGCAGUUACUGUUUUCAAAUAACGAAAUGUUUGCUUUAAAAACAGCAGAAAGGCUUAUAAAACAAGGUGCUAAAAAGAUUGUUCUACUUUUAAAAGAUCCAUCAAAAUGUGUGCACAUCCAAUUAAGAUCUUGGAGUAAAUAUGGUGUAGAAGUACAAAUCAUAAACGAAAACAUUUGGAAGGAGUCAAGCUGGUUGACUUGUAUCCAACAAUGCAAGGGCAGUCCAGUUGAAACCGUGUUCCUGAUCACUUCGGACGAGGAAGCCGAUAAUAUUAACAUAAUUGUUGAAAAAUUAUGUACAAUCAUACAUAGAUUAUGUCAUUCUUUAAAAUACUUUGCACUAGUGAAUGAUAAUGCUUUCAAAAACAAGC